rnacentral:ncRNA from 21 species
UGGAAAGGCAGGCUUCGGCCUGCCUUUCCUGUUGCCCGAGACAGGACUUCCAACGUGCGGGGGGCAACGGAAGUCCAUCUCGUCGUCUCAACCGGGAUUGAUCACGAUUGGUUCCACUCUGUCAAUCGUAGUUAUCUAAAAUAGUGAUUGCCCCACAGCAACGUGGCUGGACGGUAAAUUUUCCAUAAA